rnacentral:rRNA from 1 species
AGAUUGAACGCUGGCGGCAGGCCUAACACAUGCAAGUCGAGCGGCAGCACGGGUACUUGUACCUGGUGGCGAGCGGCGGACGGGUGAGUAAUGCCUAGGAAUCUGCCUGGUAGUGGGGGGAUAACGCUCGGAAACGGACGCUAAUACCGCAUACGUCCUACGGGAGAAAGCAGGGGACCUUCGGGCCUUGCGCUAUCAGAUGAGCCUAGGUCGGAUUAGCUAGUUGGUGA